rnacentral:misc_RNA from 1 species
AUUACAGCGAAGCGGCGCGAGCCGCCUUUCGAACCACCGCGUACCGAACCCCCCACGUUGCCUCGGCGGGCGCCGGGCGCCCCGCGCCCGCCCCGCCGAACGGCCCCCCAGCAAGACCCCUUCCGUCGAGAUGGCGUCGUCUGAACCCUCCGGGGAAAACGUUUGAAACGAAAAACACAACUUUCAACAAUGGAUCUCUUGGCUCCGGCAUCGAUGAAGAACGCAGCGAAACGCGAUAGCUAGUGUGAAUUGCAGAUUUCAGUGAAUCAUCGAGUCUUUGAACGCACAUUGCGCCUCUUGGUAUUCCUCGAGGCAUGCCUGUUCGAGCGUCGUUACGCCCCUCAAGCGCGAGCUUGGUGUUGGGGACCGCCCCUGAGACACGGCGGCGGCCCCGGAAUGCAUCGGCGGUGCUGGUCCCAGCCCGGAGCGCAGCAGACAUGCGGCUCCGCGGGCGGGGCCGGCGCCCGCCGGACAAACGACGAGACCCCUCCACAAGUCGACCUCGA